UAAGGAAUAUUGCGCAAUGGGGGAAACCCUGACGCAGCAACGCCGCGUGGAGGAUGACACUUUUCGGAGCGUAAACUCCUUUUAUCAGAAAAGAAUAAUGACGGUACCUGAUGAAUAAGCACCGGCUAACUCCGUGCCAGCAGCCGCGGUAAUACGGGGGGUGCAAGCGUUACUCGGAAUCACUGGGCGUAAAGGACGCGUAGGCGGAUUAUCAAGUCUUUUGUGAAAUCUAGUGGCUUAACCACUAAACUGCUUAGGAAACUGAUAGUCUAGAGUAGGGGAGAGGUAGAUGGAAUUCUUGGUGUAGGGGUAAAAUCCGUAGAGAUCAAGAAGAAUACCCAUUGCGAAAGCGAUCUGCUGGAACCUAACUGACGCUGAGGCGUGAAAGCGUGGGUAGCAAACAGG
rnacentral:rRNA from 1 species